rnacentral:siRNA from 1 species
UAAAUCCGGGUCAAAAGGAUCUGC